rnacentral:rRNA from 1 species
GGGCCCGCACAAGCGGCGGAGCAUGCGGAUUAAUUCGAUGCAACGCGAAGAACCUUACCAAGGCUUGACAUAUAGAGGAAAAGUGCAGAAAUGCACUCCCCGCAAGGUCUCUAUACAGGUGGUGCAUGGUUGUCGUCAGCUCGUGUCGUGAGAUGUUGGGUUAAGUCCCGCAACGAGCGCAACCCUCGUCCUAUGUUGCCAGCACGUUAUGGUGGGAACUCAUGGGAUACUGCCGGGGUCAACUCGGAGGAAGGUGGGGAUGACGUCAAAUCAUCAUGCCCCUUAUGUCUUGGGCUUCACGCAUGCUACAAUGGCUGGUACAGAGGGCUGCGAUAUCGCAAGAUGGAGCGAA